AACGGGGCUCUUCUGCGGGUACGUCAUGAGCAAGGUAUUAACUUUACUCCCUUCCUCCCCGCUGAAAGUACUUUACAACCCGAAGGCCUUCUUCAUACACGCGGCAUGGCUGCAUCAGGCUUGCGCCCAUUGUGCAAUAUUCCCCACUGCUGCCUCCCGUAGGAGUA
rnacentral:rRNA from 1 species